rnacentral:rRNA from 1 species
GCAACGCCGCGUGAAGGAAGAAGGCCUUCGGGUUGUAAACUUCUUUUACCAGGGACGAAGGACGUGACGGUACCUGGAGAAAAAGCCACGGCUAACUACGUGCCAGCAGCCGCGGUAAUACGUAGGUGGCAAGCGUUGUCCGGAUUUACUGGGUGUAAAGGGCGUGUAGGCGGAGCUGCAAGUCAGAUGUGAAAUCUCUGGGCUCAACCCAGAAACUGCAUUUGAAACUGUAGCCCUUGAGUAUCGGAGAGGCAAGCGGAAUUCCUAGUGUAGCGGUGAAAUGCGUAGAUAUUAGGAGGAACACCAGUGGCGAAGGCGGCUUGCUGGACGACAACUGACGCUGAGGCGCGAAAGCGUGGGGAGCAGACAGGAUUAGAUACCCUGGUAGUCCACGCUGUAAACGAUGAAUACUAGGUGUGGGAGGACUGACCCCUUCCGUGCCGCAGUUAACACAAUAAGUAUUCCACCUGGGGAGUACGACCGCAAGGUUGAAACUCAAAGGAAUUGACGGGGGCCCGCACAAGCAGUGGAUUAUGUGGUUUAAUUCGACGCAACGCGAAGAACCUUACCAGGAUUUGACAUCCCACUAACGAAGUAGAGAUACAUUAGGUGCCCUUCGGGGAAAGUGGAGACAGGUGGUGCAUGGUUGUCGUCAGCUCGUGUCGUGAGAUGUUGGGUUAAGUCCCGCAACGAGCGCAACCCCUAUUGUUAGUUGCUACGCAAGAGCACUCUAGCGAGACUGCCGUUGACAAAACGGAGGAAGGCGGGGACGACGUCAAAUCAUUAUGCCCCUUAUGUCCUGGGCUACACACGUAAUACAAUGGCGUUUAACAAAGGGAAGCAAAGCCGCGAGGUGGAGCAAAUCCCCAAAAGGCGUCUCAGUUCGGAUUGCAGGCUGCAACUCGCCUGCAUGAAGCUGGAAUUGCUAGUAAUCGUGGAUCAGCAUGCCACGGUGAAUACGUUCCCGGGCCUUGCACU